ACGUUGUAUGUAGGGCUCGGAGUGCGUUAAUUGUGGGUUUCAUCGUUUCAAUAAUCAGGCGUGUGAAAUCAAUCCCAAAACUCACUGGAAACUUGUCAAAUCGUGAUUUGGGGCUAUUUUCGAAACUGCUCAGUUCCAGACGGUCGUGUGGUAAACCGUGUGAGCCACACGGCUGUGUGAGAUCUUGCAGACUGUGUGGCCAGGCCGUGUGGGGCACAUGACCUUGUGAAACUCUGCAGGACGUGUGGCCAAACCGUGUGUGGAACACAAUCGUGUAAAAUUUUGGAAACCGUGUUGGUAGACCGUGUGGAUGCACGAAGUAGGUUUUUGGGCUGUGUGGGCCUUUUUGGACUCAAAAUUUGGGUCCGUAUGCAUCGUAUGGGGCCGGAAAAGCCUAAGUUUCAGUACGUAAAAGUAUACAGUUAAGCUUAGGAGGUAUGUUAAGUAGGAAAUGUACCAUUUAAUCAUGUGAUAUGUUAUGAUUGGUAUGAAAAUAUGUAAGUAUGUAUGCUAUCAGAUUUAUAUUACAUAUAAGUAUGAUAUAUGAUUAUGAUUUGUUUUUGUUUCGAGGUGUGAUAUGAUAUGAUGGAAGAAGUGUUAUAUAGCAGUUUAUACUGCAAAUAUAGCGGCUAAAUCGUAAAUUUAUGUGCAUCAGCUCAGCUGCAACUAUAUAAGUGACACACCGCCAUACUUGUGUGAUUGGAUGGAUGGACUCUUGUAGUCCUAUAUGGCGCGAUUGGUUGGACGGAGAUGAUGUGUAGCAGAUGGGAUCGGUAGAAUGGAGGCGAAUCGGUUGAUUUUGGUGCUUUGAAUCACGAAAUCAGGGUGAAUGAGUUUACCAUAGCCCUUUGUGGUGUGCAAGGUGGAUAAGCCUACCAUAGCCUAAUUGAGGGGUGUAGGAUGGUUGGUUGGGAUUUUACUUGUUGCAUUCAUUUGACUAUAGGUUCAAGAUUUUCGUAUGUUGUCAGUAAAUACUUUUUUGUAUAUUUGAUUAGUUCAUCAUUUGUCAUUUAAUUUUGUUUUGGACUCACACUGAGUUUAUGUAGCUCACUCCCCUUAUUUCUCUUUCUCAAGUAAUUCAAGUAGCUAGAUCUCAGACUCAACAAAUCGAAAGUCUCGAAGGUUUUCCAUUUUCAGUUUGAUCUUUAAUAACUUAAUUAUGAAUUUGUAAAUUAUGUCUUAUUGAUUUUGAAAAUAAAUGUUAAGUGAUCUGUAGUA